rnacentral:rRNA from 1 species
UUCAACUGAAGAGUUUGAUCAUGGCUCAGAUUGAACGCUGGCGGCAGGCCUAACACAUGCAAGUCGAGCGGUAACAGGUCCAGCUUGCUGGACGCUGACGAGCGGCGGACGGGUGAGUAACGCAUAGGAAUCUACC